UACGGAGGGAGCUAGCGUUAUUCGGAAUUACUGGGCGUAAAGCGCACGUAGGCGGCUUUGUAAGUAAGAGGUGAAAGCCCCAGAGCUCAACUCUGGAAUUGCCUUUUAGACUGCAUCGCUUGAAUCAUGGAGAGGUCAGUGGAAUUCCGAGUGUAGAGGUGAAAUUCGUAGAUAUUAGGAAGAACACCAGUGGCGAAGGCGGCCCACUGGAUCGGUACUGACGCUGAGGUGCGAAAGCGUGGGGAGCAAACAGG
rnacentral:rRNA from 1 species